GAGUUUGAUCGUGGCUCAGGACGAACGCUGGCGGCGUGCUUAACACAUGCAAGUCGAGGGCAUUUGGGUAGCAAUACUCAAGUGACCGGCGAACGGGUGCGUAACACGUGAGCGACCUUGCCUCGUGGUGGGGGAUAGCCGGCCCAACGGCCGGGUAAUACCGCAUAUGGUAGUUUCUUCGCAUGGGGAGACUAGCAAAGCUGAGUAGCAAUACUUGGCGCCACAGGGGGGGCUCGCGGCCUAUCAGCUAGUUGGGGGGGGUAAUGGCCCACCAAGGCGACGACGGGUAGCUGGUCUGAGAGGAUGGCCAGCCACAUUGGGGACUGAGAGACGGCCCAGACUCCUACGGGAGGCAGCAGUGGGGAAUCUUGCGCAAUGGCCGAAAGGCUGACGCAGCGACGCCGCGUGGGGGAGGAA
rnacentral:rRNA from 1 species